GUCUACGGCCAUGCCACUCUGAACAUGCCCAAUCCCAUCUGAUCUCAGAAGUUAAGCAGGGGCAGCCCUGGUUAGUACUUGGAUGGGAGACCACUUAGGAAGACCAGGUGCUGUAGGCA
rnacentral:rRNA from 1 species